GAGGCUGUUGCUGAACCCGUCCCAGACGCAGCCGGGCGCGUCCCAGACCCAGCGGCUGCGGAGGCAGGACACGAAGAUAAGUUUAGCAACUUGAUAAGUUCAUACAAGAAGUAAGUGGCAGAGCCAGGAAUGGACCUCACUCCCCUGACUAACCAUUGGACCAUGCUGUGUCCCUUAGCACCAUUGAGAAAAUGAUGAAAUAGAUUAUGAUAAAUUCUAUGAGACAGUACAAACCCUCUUUGGUCCAGAAGUGAAGGAUCAAGAUGUUAAGA